rnacentral:rRNA from 1 species
GUCCAUGCCGUAAACGAUGAAUGCUAGGUGUCGGGGGUCAAACCUCGGUGCCGCAGUUAACACAGUAAGCAUUCCGCCUGGGGAGUACGGUGGCAACACUGAAACUCAAAGGAAUUGACGGGGACCCGCACAAGCAGCGGAGCAUGUGGUUUAAUUCGAUGCAACGCGAAGAACCUUACCAGGACUUGACAUAUAGAUGAAAGAUCUAGAGAUAGAUCCCUCUCUUCGGAGACAGCUAUACAGGUGGUGCAUGGUUGUCGU